AAGGUCUCAUACGCAACUGCCAUGGACUGGUUCAUUGCCGUCUGCUUCGCCUUC
rfam:Poecilia formosa, whole genome shotgun sequence.